rnacentral:lncRNA from 1 species
UACUGCUACGCCUAAAGGUGUAUCAAAAAAGGCUUAAUUUUCAUUGCGUUUAAAUCCUCAAAACGCCAUAACCUUGGUUCACUACAAACAAGUGCCAAAGGAAACAAAUUUCAAACAUUUAACUACGAUAUACCAUUAUCUGAAUUACCAUAACCCUCAUUAAAAGCUUGAAGGAAUUUAACAUUACAAAUAAAUUUUACAAACUUCGAGAACUCGAAAAGAGAAGCUUACUAAACUGGGCACGGCGAUGAAUUUAUGCUUCACAAAUAGAGGAAAGCGCUUCACAAAUGGACAGAGAUUGAUACAGUCGUCUUCAAAAAUGUUAAUUUAUGCUUCAUAAAAAGAGGAAAGUACUGUUGAUAGUUGUCAAAUCAUCAAAAAAUUGGCGGAGAUACACAAGCGUGGCUUUGGGUUCGGGUUUAUCGCCGGAGUGCCAUCUUUUCCGGGAAAUUAUCACCGAAUUUACGGAUUCUAACAUAUAAGGAAAAGCUGUGUGAGAAGCAUUUUAGUGUGCCAGUGAAAUUUGUCAGCCGAAGCUUUGUCGGCUCUCAUGAAUCUUCGGUAGCUUCUUAGAGCAACCAUAGCCUUCUUGUCUUAUAGCGCAAUAUCCUUAGGGUUUGCCCACGGCCUAGGUUUUGCUUCCCCUCUCACAUGUCCCUCACUUGGGCAUUAUAGUGUUCCCUCCAUUUUCUUUUGCCACAUCAGAAAUUUCGAGUCCCCUUUUCCUGUGUGUCAUUGAGCCUGUGCAAGAAGCAUUAACAAUACGUCAUUUCAUGGUUAUAUAGAGGAAUAAUGCUUGGUUAUAAAGAGGAAUAAUGCUUGUUGGACAAGGUCAAUGACAACCCUUUUUGACAGGGUUUUAAAUUGGUCCACGUGUCACUGAGAAUUAAAAUGAAGGAAACUAGCAUGUAAAUGCAAGGGAGAAAUAUUAAAAUAACUUUAAAUAAACGAUUGCAAAGAAAACGUCGACCUUUCCCAAAUUGUGUAAGACAAAUCCUGGUAGUAGGUGAGUUUCGGUUCAAAUCCCAUCCCGAAAAUGCCACAUCCCCGACAAGCGAGUUUCGAUUCUUUCCAAAUCAAAAUCCAUCUACGCGAAUCCAUUCAUUAUGGUCCAUUCGAUAGGUCUCCGUUUGUAGCUAUUAUAAAUGAGUUUCUUCGUCCCCUAUCGCCCCCUUUGGUUCUUUUAUAUACAGAAGUAGGUGGUGAGUUUAAUUUUACCUUGUAAUCGUUCAUUAUGAAAUUUUGACUCUUGUCCAAAGUAAUUCUCCAUUAUCUGGGAUUUCAAUUUUAUGGUGCUCUAAACAAUAGUAAUUGUUAAGGUUCUUUUCCUUUGUCUGUAACUGACGGUGGACCAAACUUUGUGUUUAUUAACUGAUCACAGCUUUAUAAACAUUUGACACUCGAAGAUACUGAACUUCCUACCGUUCCUGGACAUCUUGAGGGGAAAUUUAAAUCUACAUUGAAGACCUUGGAAUAGUACCAGCCCAAAAAUUGUGAGCAUGUAUUUAACACGGGUUGGGAGUUUAGCUUCCAACUGGAAAAAGGUACAUAAACCCAUCAGUUCAUUACAAGUAAAAAUCGACGUUACAAACAAGAGUGCAACUUCCAACACAUUAUAGAUUCACAUAUGUUUACAACCAUAGUUCACAUACAUUCGCACAUAAUAAUACCACAUAUACAAAAGUUUAUGUAGUAACUAGUCCUUCGAUUAAUAUGUACUAAUUAGGCCGACUCCUUCCCUUUAGCAUUCCUUUCCGUGCUCCCUUUUGCCUUGCAAAUUCAUUGUAACAAUUCAAGCAACCAAACCAAUAGUCAAGAAUACAUAAACAAGACUAAUACUUGAGAAGCUAAUGGAAAUGCGUGAAUUCGAUAUUGAUGAACUUAUAGAGAUGUGUAUACAAUAAAACAUUUUCCAAAUCUAGUCAGUGUCUCAUUAAUCCCACUAUCUUAAACUCAUUUUUUGUACACCAUACAAGGUUAAUAAUAUCCAAUACCGUCCAAUAGGCUGUUCUUGGACUACUUUUGUCAAUUACAUUGUUCUUGGAUUUGAAGAUUAUGAAAGCAAACUUUACAAUGUAUGAAAAUGGCGUCAGAAUUUCAAUAAAUAGUUGCUGCAUAAUUUUACAUUAUUCUCUCUAAAUUUUGCGGACUGAAGAAUGCAGAAAAACCAUCAUACUUAUUAGACUAAUUAUCAAAUGGACUAGAAUAUACUGCAUUGUAAUCCUUACGUUUGAACUCUUAAAACUAUAGUAAUUACCGUGUUCAUUGUACACAACAUAGAAUAAUAAUAUAAUAUAUCCUGGAAUUCUUCACAUAGAUAUUCAUAGUUCUAUUUAUGAAUUAAAAAAAAAAAUUAAAGUCGAAACAUAAAUUUGGUGUUUUUUUUUUUUUUUAAUGUAUUACAACUUCGAUUAACGUUUCUUGUUGCACAAACAAACCUUGGACAGAGAUGGUGAACUAUGNNN